rnacentral:rRNA from 1 species
GAUGAACGCUGGCGGCGUGCCUAAUACAUGCAAGUCGAGCGAACAGACGAGGCGUUUGCUCCUCUGCCGUUAGCGGCGGGCGGGUGAGUAACACGAGGAUAACCUACAUAUAAGACUGGGAUAACUUAGGGAAACCGGAGCUAAUACCGGAUAAUAUAUUGAACCGCAUGGUUCUAUAGUGAAAGCCGGUUUUGCUGUCACUUAUAGAUGGAUCCGCGCCGCAUUAGCUAGUUGGUAAGGUAACGGCUUACCAAGGCAACGAUGCGUAGCCGACCUGAGAGGGUGAUCGGCCACACUGGAACUGAGACACGGUCCAGACUCCUACGGGAGGCAGCAGUAGGGAAUCUUCCGCAAUGGGCGAAAGCCUGACGGAGCAACGCCGCGUGAGUGAUGAAGGUCUUCGGAUCGUAAAGCUCUGUUAGUAGGGAAGAACAAAUGUGUAAGUAACUAUGCACGUCUUGACGGUACCUAAUCAGAAAGCAACGGCUAACUACGUG